ACAAACCGCCCUCACAGCUUCUUUGGCCCCAACUGCCUCUCCACCUUUCCAGUCAUCUCCUUAUUGUUCUUAGUCUCCCUGCUUUUCUCUUUUUCCCUCUUUCUCUCCAUACCUGUAGCCGACCAACAGCUGUUUGGAUGUUUUAUUUUUGCAUUUACAAACUGUUGUUAUUUUCUUCGCCAACACCAACAGAUUUAUAAACAUUGUGAAUGUGAGUUUUUCAGAGUGAAAUAUUCUUGGGGCUCUGCCCUCGCGCUACACCGUAAGAGUGACCAUAUGAGUUCAGCUGGGUGAGACAAGACCCCCACGGUGCACAUCGGAGUAGCCUACUACCAGCUCAUGUGCUGCCUGCUACCAUGGAGCGGUCAUGGGUCGGUCUGCUGCUCCUCGCGCUCUGCCUUUUACUUACGGAAGUCAGCGGGAGAAAUCCCACAUGUCACUUCAUCUGGGAGCUGCAGAGGGCGGAGCUAGAGUGUCACAAUCAGCUGGAGAAACAAUCCCUAGAGCCUCCCGGAUGUGGUGGUCUAUGGGACAACAUCUCAUGCUGGGCCCCAGCAGCAGUAGGGGAAGAGGUGACUCUCUCCUGCCCCCCUGCUCUCACACACCUCUUCGGACGACAUGGUACCUUUAGUAGGAACUGUACUGAGGCUGGCUGGUCUGACAUCUACCCCAGCAUCAGCACGGUCUGCUGGUCCAGCGACAACAAACCGAACAAGCUGCUGUUCUACUCAGUGGUGAAGACUCUGUACACUCUGGGCCACAGCCUCUCAAUUAUUGCUCUCGUCACCUCUACAUUCACCCUCUGUCUGAUCAGGAGGCUCCACUGCACUAGGAACUACAUCCAUGUGAACCUGUUUGUGUCGUUCAUCUUGCGAGCGGUGGCUGUGCUGGUUAAAGACUCUGUCAUCUUCUCCCACAACCAAAACACAGACUGUAGCACACAGCCCUCACUGGUGGGCUGUAAGGUCAGUUUGGUGAUGUUUAACUAUUUCAUAAUGGCUAACUUCUUCUGGCUGCUGGUGGAGGGGCUCUACCUACAGACACUGCUCCUGGUAACCUAUUCAUAUACACACCUCGCUGUCUACCUCACAAUCGGCUGGGGGUUACCCUCAGUAUUUCUGGUGAUCUGGAUCUUCUGUAGGAUGUAUCUGGAAGACACCGACUGCUGGGAGAGGAAUGACAUUCCUACCCCUAGGAGGGUGAUCAACUGGCCCAUAAUGGCGUCUGUGAUAAUCAACUUUGUUCUGUUCAUCAGUAUCAUCCGUAUCCUGGUCCAGAAACUACUCUGCUCUGACGUGGGCGGGAACAACCAAUCACAGUACAGGUGUCUGGCUAAGUCCACCCUGCUGUUGAUCCCUCUAUUUGGAGUCAACUACAUGGUGUUUGCCUACCUGGUGGAGACAGAGAGCGACAGGAUGGCAGAAUACAAGAUUAUCUUUGACCUGGGACUGGGGUCAUUCCAGGGUCUGGUGAUAGCUACUCUCUACUGCUUCCUCAACACUGAGGUGAGCUACUCUCUACUGCUUCCUCAACACUGAGGUGAGCUACUCUCUACUGCUUCCUCAACACUGAGGUGAGCUACUCUCUACUGCUUCCUCAACACCGAGGUGAGCUACUCUCUACUGCUUCCUUAACACCGAGGUGAGCUACUCUCUACUGCUUCCUCAACACCGAGUUGAGCUACUCUCUACUGCUUCCUCAACACCGAGGUGAGCUACUCUCUACUGCUUCCUCAACACCGAGGUGAGCUACUCUCUACUGCUUCCUCAACACCGAGGUGAGCUACUCUCUACUGCUUCCUCAACACCGAGGUGAGCUACUCUCUACUGCUUCCUCAACACCGAGGUGAGCUACUCUCUACUGCUUCCUCAACACCGAGGUGAGCUACUCUCUACUGCUUCCUCAACACCGAGGUGAGCUACUCUCUACUGCUUCCUCAACACCGAGGUGAGCUACUCUCUACUGCUUCCUCAACACCGAGGUGAGCUACUCUCUACUGCUUCCUCAACACCGAGGUGAGCUACUCUCUACUGCUUCCUCAACACCGAGGUGAGCUACUCUCUACUGCUUCCUCAACACCGAGGUGAGCUACUCUCUACUGCUUCCUCAACACCGAGGUGAGCUACUCUCUACUGCUUCCUCAACACCGAGGUGAGCUACUCUCUACUGCUUCCUCAACACCGAGGUGAGCUACUCUCUACUGCUUCCUCAACACCGAGGUGAGCUACUCUCUACUGCUUCCUCAACACCGAGGUGAGCUACUCUCUACUGCUUCCUCAACACCGAGGUGAGCUACUCUCUACUGCUUCCUCAACACUGAGGUCCAAGGGGAACUGAAGAGGAUGUGGAGGAGUGUGUCAUUAAAUCAUUACAUCGGGCAGGACUGCCUUCUACAUAAUGCGUCAAUCAGCCGUAACUCCACCCACUUCAAGCGGAACUCCAGAGCCCAGUCCAUCCUGCAGAC